rnacentral:rRNA from 1 species
UACGUAGGGGGCAAGCGUUAAUCGGAAUUACUGGGCGUAAAGCGUGCGCAGGCGGUGGUGUAAGGCAGUUGUGAAAUCCCCGGGCUCAACCUGGGAACUGCAUCUGUGACUGCAUCGCUGGAGUGCGGCAGAGGGGGAUGGAAUUCCGCGUGUAGCAGUGAAAUGCGUAGAUAUGCGGAGGAACACCGAUGGCGAAGGCAAUCCCCUGGGCCUGCACUGACGCUCAUGCACGAAAGCGUGGGGAGCAAACAGG